UUGCUUCAGCAGCACAUACAGUAAAACCAGAAUGACACAGAGUAGAUUAUCAUGGCCCCUGUGCAAGUAUGACACACAAUUUGUGAAGAGUUCCAUAUUUUU